UACGUAGGCAGCAAACGUUGUUCGGAAUUACUGGGCGUAAAGAGUGUGUAGGCGGUCUUGUAAGUUCUGUGUGAAAUCUCCCGGCUUAACUGGGAGGGUGCGCCGAAAACUGCAAGGCUUGAGUGCUGGAGAGGAUAGCGGAAUUCCUGGUGUAGCGGUGAAAUGCGUAGAUAUCAGGAGGAACACCGGCGGUGUAGACGGCUAUCUGGACAGUAACUGACGCUGAGACACGAAAGCGUGGGGAGCAAACAGG
rnacentral:rRNA from 1 species